rnacentral:misc_RNA from 1 species
UCCCGGUUGGCCCGGGCAGUCUCGCCUGAAAAAUACAACAGACGAUAAGGGUUGCGCUCGUUGCGGGACUUAACCCAACAUCUCACGACACGAGCUGACGACGGCCAUGCAGCAUCUGUCACCAGGUUCCCGAAGGCACAGUCCUGUUUCCAGGACCUUCCUGGGAUGUCAAGCCUUGGUAAGGUUCUUCGCGUACCAUCGGAUUAAACCACAUGAUCCACCGCUUGUGCGGGUCCCCGUCAAUUCCUUUGAGUUUUAAGCUUGCGCUCGUACUCCCCAGGCGGGAUGCUUAACGCGUUAGCUUCUCAGCCCAAGGGGUCGAUACCUCGAACUAAUAGCAUCCAUCGUUUACGGCGUGGACUAC